UAUACAACUUUCAGCAACGGAUCUCUUGGCUCUCGCAUCGAUGAAGGACGCAGCGAAACGCGAUAAGUAAUGUGAAUUGCAGACACGUGAAUCAUCGAAUCUUUGAACGCACCUUGCGCUCCUUGGUGAUCUGAGGAGCAUGCCUGUUUGAGUGUCAUUA
rnacentral:rRNA from 1 species